rnacentral:rRNA from 1 species
GGUUCAUUCAAAUUUCUGCCCUAUCAACUUUCGACGGCUGGGUCUUGGCCAGCCAUGGUGACAACGGGUAACGGAGGGUUAGGGCUCGACCCCGGAGAAGGAGCCUGAGAAACGGCUACUACAUCCAAGGAAGGCAGCAGGCGCGCAAAUUACCUAAUCCCGACCGGGGAGGUAGUGACAAUAAAUACUGAUACAGGGCUCUUUUGGGUCUUGUAAUUGGAAUGAGUACAAUUUAAAUCCCUUAACGAGGAACAAUUGGAGGGCAAGUCUGGUGCCAGCAGCCGCGGUAAUUCCAGCUCCAAUAGCGUAUAUUAAAGUUGUUGCAGUUAAAAAGCUCGUAGUUG